UACGCAGGGUGCGAGCGUUGUCCGGAAUUAUUGGGCGUAAAGAGCUUGUAGGCGGUCUGUCGCGUCUGCUGUGAAAAUCCGGGGCUCAACCCCGGACUUGCAGUGGGUACGGGCAGACUAGAGUGUGGUAGGGGAGACUGGAAUUCCUGGUGUAGCGGUGAAAUGCGCAGAUAUCAGGAGGAACACCCGUGGCGAAAGCGGCUCUCUGGGACGGUACUGACGCUGAGACGCGAAAGCGUGGGGAGCAAACAGG
rnacentral:rRNA from 1 species